rnacentral:rRNA from 1 species
CAAUAGCGUAUAUUAAAGCUGUUGCGGUUAAAAAGCUCGUAGUUGGAUUUCUGUCAAGUACAACUGGUCCGCCCUCCGGGUGAGCACAUAGUUUGGUCUUGGCAUCUUGCUGGAAAUUGUUGCUGCACUUGGCUGUGUGGCGCAGUGUCCAGCACUUUCACUUUGAGGAAAUUGGAGUGUUUCAAGCAGGCAAUGCCUUUGAACACAGUAGCAUGGAAUAAUUAGAUUGGGCUUUUGCUCCAAUUUGUCGGUUUCUGGAGCUGAGGUGAGAAUUAAUGGGGAUUGUUGGGGGCAUCCGAAUUUAGCCGUCAGAGGUGAAAUUCUUGGAUCGGCUAAAGACGGACAACUGCGAAAGCGUUUGCCAAGGAUGUUUUCAUUGA